GCCCCUGGUCCGCCCCACACAGCGCCUGACAAUUGCGCAGGCGCCCUAAGGCUCCGCCCACGUCCCGUGGCCGCGCAGGCGCCUACGGCCCCGCCCACUCCGUUCACCUCCCUCCGGUCUCUGGGUAGCGCAGGCGCCCUUUCACCUGGCCAGCCACAAAAAAAGACUCCGGCACGUGGUUCUGACGGGUCAGGUUUUGCGCCAGAGCUCCGGAUGGCAGAUGCUCCUGGGUGCUGCGUUUGGCGCGGUGGGGUGAUGAGUGUAGAGCUCUCUUGUCCCAAAGCCUUACCUCAGCUCAAAGGUCCACCUUUCCUGCAGCACAUAUUUACAGUGUACCAAGGACGGUGCCAGGCAUGAGGUAGACAGUAGCGAUAAAAACACAAGCCCUGCCCUCCUGGCGCUCCCCGUGCAGCAGGGGACACAGACACUAAACAGAGCACCAGCGGGGGAGAGGGGCGGAGGGAGAGAGAAUCCUAAGCAGGGUCCAUGCUCAGCAUAGAGCCCAACAUGGGCUCGAUCCUACGACCCUGGGAGCUGAAAUCAAGAGACUUACGCCCAACCCACUGAGCUGCCCGAUACCCCUACUUUUGCUUUCUUGUACUGUCCAUGGCUGGUUUGGGAUUUAAUUUAUAAUAAAGUCAUAAUGAGUUGAGGC